UUUGUACCCUGAGACUACUCUGAACAUGCCUGAUCUUGACUGAUCUCAGAAGCUAAGGAGGGUUGGGCCUGGUUAGUACUUGGAUGGAAGCAGAU
rnacentral:rRNA from 1 species